rnacentral:rRNA from 1 species
GCCUUUCGGGGAACUCGGAGACAGGUGCUGCAUGGCUGUCGUCAGCUCGUGUCGUGAGAUGUUGGUUAAGUCCCGCAACGAGCGCAACCCCUACGUUUAGUUGCUAACAGGUGAAGCUGAGCACUCUAGACGAACUGCCGUUGACAAAACGGAGGAAGGUGGGGAUGACGUCAAAUCAUCAUGCCCCUUAUGUUCUGGGCUACACACGUGCUACAAUGGCCGGUACAGACGGAGGCGAAGCCGCGAGGCGGAGCAAAUCCGAAAAAGCCGGUCUCAGUUCGGAUUGCAGGCUGCAAUUCGCCUGCAUGAAGUCGGAAUCGCUAGUAAUCGCAGGUCAGCAUACUGCGGUGAAUACGUUCCCGGGCCUU